rnacentral:lncRNA from 1 species
CGCAAAUAUGCGGAUGUCUUUUGUCACCUACUCCACAGAUGGCGACACUGUCUUGCCACUCACCUCAGACAAGAAGAAAAUAAAAGAGGGUCUCGACAAACUUCAGAAAAUGGUGCCUGAAGGACACAUAUUCAUGCAGGCAGGGUUUAGAAAUGCAAUUCGGCAGAUGGAAAAUUUCAACUCCAGGAUGACAAGGUUUCCAGCAUGAUUAUUGCUAUGACUGAUGGAACAAUGAUGAAACAUCCAUCUUUGGACACUCUCAAAGAAAUAACAGCAAUGGCAGGCGGUCCGGACCAUGUGUUUGCAGUGGAGGAUGGCUUCAAGGCCCUGAGAAGCACUGUUGAUGCCUCAUGUCAAAGACCUGUCUUGAAGUGACGUCUGUGGAGCCUUCCUCUGAGUGUGUAGGAAAAUCCUACCAUGUGGUUAUUCAUGGAAAUGGCUUUCAGAAUCUAAAGAAACGGGAUGAAGUUAUUUGCAGAUUUAUCUUCAGUGAAAGCACUAUCAUUGAUGAACAUCCAAUCAGUAUGGACAAGACUUCCAAAACUUGCCCUGGACCAAAGAUAGAAAAACCUGGCAGGAGUACUUCAUUGAAGUCAGCUUGAACAACGGCAAAACAUUCAAGAGCAAUGUCAGCAUCACCAGCACCACAUGUGGCAUUUUUUGCAACUGGCUCUAUUUUGUGCCGCCCCUGCUGCUUGCGCCACUGCUGCUGUGUUGUGUUUGGUGGCUGUGCCGCAAGAAGAUCAUCUCCACCACCACAAACUCUGCCUCCACUGCCUCUGCCCCCGGCUCCUGUAAACACCUGCCCCACUGUGAUUGUUUGUUGCUGUAGGUGUCAAGGAGUGUUCUGGAUGAGAAGGAUAGAGGGCAAUCUGGAUAUCUUCCGUGACCUCUCUCACCCAAGCUGCUGCCAGGUGCCAUGGAUGUGGUGUCAGCACAGGGGCCAGGGAGAAGGUACCUCAGCUUAGCCCUUGCACAGUCCCAAUGCACACAGGGUCCCUGCUGCCCAAGGAUCUGCCUUCCACACAGCCAGGAGUGCCUUUCCCUACCACAGGCUCCCUGCAGCCCAAGGAUGUGCCUGAGACACAGCCGGGAGUACUUUUCCCAAGCACAGAUUCUGCAAUGCAAAGAGCUGCCUUCAACCCAGCUGAGAGUGCCUCCCCAUCACCUGCUCCCCCAGGUGCCACCUCCUCCCCACUAGGUGCCCGAGGCCUCCCUCCAGGAUGUUGCCACUGCUCCCUGCUCUUCUCAGGCACACUGCAGAACCCCCUUUGUCACUGCCUCCCCUAGAGCCCAACUUCUAAGGCACCAAACACCCAAGAUGAA